rnacentral:tRNA from 1 species
AAUCUUAUAUUCAAAUUAAAUGAUAUUAAAUUGCAAAUUUAAAGGUAUUAAAUAUUUUAA